rnacentral:tRNA from 1 species
CGUUAGUAGAAAAACUUAUUAAAUGCUAGCUUUCAGAUUCAGGGAAACUUAGGUUGAUAAAAAUAUAACCAAUCCUGAGCCAAAUCUUAUUUCACUUGAAAAUAAGAUAGGUGCAGAGACUCAAUGGAAGCUAUCCUAACGAAUAAUAUUUUAAAUUUUAUUUAAUCAAAUGAGUAAAAAAAUGAAAAUUAUUAAAAUUUUAUUUUUUUUUUAUGUUAAGCGAGGAUAAAGAUAGAGUCCAAUUUUACAUGUUAAUCUUAGCAACAAUUUAAAUUGUAGUAGAAAGAAAAUCCGUUGGCUUUAUUGACCGUGAGGGUUCAAGUCCCUCUACCCCCA